UACCCUGGAAUGCACCUGUCUGCGCAUGCGUACCAAAUGCUAUGGCUGUAUAUUGUUGAAUGUCCUCUUUCGCUAGUAUUUAUUUACCUUUACAGUACUUUACAGUAAUUUUACUUUAAUCCUGUAAACCGACAGCAUUGUGUUUAAAAUAACAUUAGAUUGGGGCGAAAACUCGUUAACAGAAGUUCCCGUUUUAGCCCGUUUGAUGGAGUUAAUGUAGCAACUGCCACAAGCUAACAGCUGGCGCCAGCAACCGAUCGGAUAAUGAUCAAGUUCGUGCUAAUGGUGAACCGACAGGGUCAGACCAGGCUGUCCAGGUAUUAUCACUCUGUGGAGCUGAGCAGAAGAGCAGCUCUUGAGGCCGAUGUAGUACGCUACUGCCUGAGCCGCAAGAAAGAUCAGUGUUCCUUUGUGGAGUACAAAGACUUUAAAUUGGUUUACCGCCAGUAUGCUGCUCUGUAUAUCGUGGUGGGCAUCACAGACAGUGAGAAUGAGCUGUCCAUCUACGAGCUGGUUCAUAACUUUGUGGAGGUCUUGGAUAAAUACUUCAGCCGGGUGAGUGAACUGGAUAUAAUGUUCAAUCUGGAUCGAGUUCAUAUCAUCCUGGAUGAGAUGAUCCAAAACGGACACAUUGUGGAAACAAACAAGAGCCGCAUCCUCGCACCCCUCACCACUAUUGACAAGAUGGUGGACAGCUAACAAAAAGAAGAAAGGAAGUCACGGACUGUUCUUCAGGCUGAGGACUGGCCUGCAGCUUACAGUCUGAAUUUAGAAUCUGCUUAAAGUGUAUCCAGAUGUUCGAGCUGCACAGCUGAGAGAAGGAAGCCUCCCUCUGAAGUUGGCCAGUUUGAAUUAUUCAGGAAGAAAACCGGUUGUGUGAAUUUAGCGGGGAAUGAAUUACAUUUUUUUUUUUUUUUUUAAAUUUGCCUUUUGGGCAGUCCACAGGAAUUGUUUUGACUGAGCUGGCCAGACAUGUAAAAUAUCUGUAACAAAAUGUAAAGACAUUUGGUGGUAUUUUUUUGGAUAUUUAUAAA